ensembl:lncRNA
GACCACACAAAAAUGUAGAGGCUUAGCAGUUUGUUAUUAUUAUCCCUAACAGUUGUGCGAAUUGCCAGUGUUCAGCUGAGUGAUUCUGUCUUGAGGCUUCUUCUGUGGAUGGUCAGACAGAAGCUGAGGUUGGUGUCAUCCAAACACUCAACAGGGCUGUUCGUUCAAGACGGCUUCUGUGGUUUGGGUGGACACGUGCACACCCUCUGCUGGCCUCUGUCCCAGAGCGGCUCAGCCCUGCAAGAGGGAGAAGCUGACAGCUGCCAGUGAGGAAGGAAGCUUAAGGACACCUCACCCAGCUGGAGUGCUAAUGAACCAGGAAAGGCCCUUGGGGAGACAGAAGGAAGUCCAGGCAGCAAGAGCCCACCCCUCCUUCAGCCAAAACCUGUAAGAUGCUCGCAGGUGUGAAUUCCAAGUUGCUGCCUCCUGAUUGAAGAGAAUAAGCAAGUUUGCCUGAAGCAGCAACAAGUGACAUCUGAGGAGCGUGACCUCAUGGUUUUCCCCAGAAGGCAGGAAAAACUAUACAAAACAUGCUCAGUCUUAUCUGAGUCUUUGUGACCCCAAGAAACUGUAGGCCGUUAGGCUCCUCUGUCCAUGGAAUUCUCCAGGCAAGUAUACUGGAGUGGGUUCCCAUUCCCUUCUCCAGGGGAUCUUCCCAACUCAGGGAUCAAGCCUGGGUCUCCUGCAUUGCAGGCAGAUUCUUUACCACCUGAGCCACCAGGGAAGCAUACAAAAUAGGAAAACAAUUACAUUUUUUAUUAUGAAAAACUCCAAAUGUAUAAAAGUAGAGAAUAUCACAAACCCCCCACAUAUUCAUUACCCAUCUUCAACACACAUUUCUAGUUUGGGAUACUGAUUCACAGAGAAGGAUUCAGGAAGCUCCCAGCCAGGCCUCCCAGUGCCCAGCAUGUCCUGAGGUCUUGGGCAAAUCCCCAUCUACCGAACCCUGAGAACUUGCUGGGUCUCAGUCCAAGGAAGGGCCUGUCUUCAUGCUGGCAACCUUGAGUCCUUGGAGGGAAGGAUCCUGGUUAGUCUUCUUCCCUUAAGAGGCGGGAGAAGUGGGUAUUCCCUUUGAAAAGAAAGAUUCCUAC